rnacentral:rRNA from 1 species
GAUGAACGCUGGCGGCGUGCCUAAUACAUGCAAGUCGAGCGAAUGGAUUAAGAGCUUGCUCUUAUGAAGUUAGCGGCGGACGGGUGAGUAACACGUGGGUAACCUGCCCAUAAGACUGGGAUAACUCCGGGAAACCGGGGCUAAUACCGGAUAACAUUUUGAACCGCAUGGCUCGAAAUUGAAAGGCGGCUUCGGCUGUCACUUAUGGAUGGACCCGCGUCGCAUUAGCUAGUUGGUGAGGUAACGGCUCACCAAGGCAACGAUGCGUAGCUGACCGGAGAGGGUGAUCGGCCACACUGGGACUGAGACACGGCCCAGACUCCUACGGGAGGCAGCAGUCAGGAAUCUUCCGCAAUGGACGAAAGUCUGACGUAGCAACGCCGCGUGAGUGAUGAAGGCUUUCGGGUCGUAAAACUCUGUUGUUAGGGAAGAACAAGUGCUAGUUGAAUAAGCUGGCACCUUGACGGUACCUAACCAGAAAGCCACGGCUAACUACGUGCCAGCCGCCGCGGUAA